rnacentral:lncRNA from 15 species
UAUAUUACAGAUGAAUUAAUGUUACUGCGUUGACUCUAAAAAUCUUUUUUCAACAUAUUCUGUAAAGAAAUAACACAAAACCUUUUAUGGUGGACAGGCGGUAACAUUUAUGGGUUGUAAUAUAAAGGAGGGUUGGGCAGACGAACAAAAUUCAUAUCACUGUAAUUUUUAAGAUUCUGGCAGUUUGAUGAUAUAUCACCUUUUUAUUUAAGUUUUAUUUAUUUAUUUAUUUUCAUUACUCAGCCUUUAAAUAGGCUCAUAUAUAAUUUACAGGUAGUAACAUCGGUGCAGUAGAGACAUCUCAGUUGAGUCAGAAAUGUAAAAAUAAUAUUAUAAAUGUAUUUUAUAUAGUGCAGUCAGUUAAACGCGUUAUUAACGGCGUACAUUUUUUAUCGUGAGAUUAACGUUCUUUUUGGCCUAGCACACUUUGUAGUUUUUUCACAUGCUGUUGCAACAACUAGUAACGUUACAAAAACUACAACACCACACCGGAUCUAGCUAGACCGGAAACAAAACAACAGGCACGCCGCACACACUUGUUUAAGAGUAGUUCCUCCAAAAAAAACAAAAAUACGAAGUACUCAAAGGGAUCAGUGGGAAAACGAAGGCAGAUAUUCUCUGUAUCAUGAUACAAAAAAUAAAAGACUCAAAGUGGCCAUCAAACAACUUCAACAGGAGAACUUUGGGGAAUACGAGUGUGAAUUUUAUCAAGGACAGAACUCAUAAGACGAAGUUAAAGUUAAAGUGAAAGCUGAAAGAUGGCUGCCAGGGAUUUCUUCAAACUGCGUACAGAACGACUAAAACCACCAUCACAUGUGAUUAUCCAGGAAACAAACACAGAAACCAACAGAGGAUUCAGUGUGUCCAUCAGUAAUGUGUCCUCACAUGAUGCUGGUCUCUACUGGUGUGGAGUGAAUAAAGGAAAUUACCGAACUGGACUCAGAAAAAUCCAACUGAAGGUUGAAGAUAUUAGGACAUUCACAAAGUCUCCAACUAUUGGACAGAAUUUUACAUACUGGUGUGAAUAUAAAAAUGAUCCUCCGAUAAAGAAAUUCAUCUGUAAGGGAGAAGAUCCAUCUAUAUGUCAACCACUGAUCACUACACAGCAAAAGAAGAACACAAAGUUUUCCAUGAAGGAAGACAAAGAGAAGAGAAAUAUCACCAUAACAGUGAGAGAAGUAACAGCAGACGACAGUGGGACAUACUGGUGUGGAGCAGAAAGCACUGACAGAAGACGCAGUAACACAUUCUUCCACAGAUUCUUGAUGACUGUAGUGUCAACAAUUCCCUCUUCAACCUCAUCACCACCUGUAACACAACCAGCUACUGUUUCUAAUGACGCCUUUGAUCUCACAUCUGUGCAGACCAUUGCUCUGGCUCUCUCUCUGGAUGUGCUGCUGUUGCUGCUGAUGCUCACUUCAUACUUCAUCUACACACGUUUUGCACCUUGUAAGAAAACAAGGAGAGGAGCAUGAAGGAAAAGCAAACAGAGGUGAAGAAGGCACAGGAGGGAGUGUGGGUUGGUGUGCGAGUCCCAGAGUCUCCAGUGUGCACAGCUUAACCCCGGUAUCCAGUCAGCCAGGCCCCAGUUUUGUUUUAGUUUUCAUGUUUAGCCUCUACUUGUACUGGCUUGUAUGUAUUAUUAGUAUUAUGUAUUAUGCUACUUGAGUCAGUGUUUGUAAUGUGUCUGUUCAGAACAUGGUGGUCUAUGUUGGUUAUAGUUUUAACCAUUAGUGAGCGGCCUGUUACAUUUGAUGACCUCUGCUGUAUAUAGCAUAUAUUGUCUAUAAUCAUGUAAAUAAUUGACAUGAAACUCACUGUCAGACUCUUAGUUUCCAUCUCAUAGCACAAUAUUAGCAGUUGAUAAAAACAUGCAUAUGAAAUCUAGAUUGGCAUGUGGAUCGGCAUCGUUGGUCUGAUAUCCAAUGAGUGAAUUACUUCAGUAUCUGCCCCCAAUACCGAUACUGGAUCCGAUCAGUCCCAUCUCUACAUAUUAAUGUGUCAGUCCUGGCUUUACUGGUCCAGAUUGAGGACAAGGUUGGAUAUCAUGACAUGAAAAUGUACAGUUAGAAUCUAAAUUAUAACAAAGAUAUGGAUUAAAUUCUGGAUUUUAGUCUUCAGUUAGUGUCUUUAUUCUCACUAGUAAGCACUUGGCAAAAAGUGAGGUUUAGGUUUAGUUUAUUUACACAAAUAAAAUAACCACAGUCAGUACUACUUUUGCAUUAGUUUUUUAAGACUUGAACCAAACAUCAAACAACCAAACAUCCUGCCUACAGCCUCACCAGCAGACUGAUAUUAAUGUAAUUUAUAUUCUGUAUAUAAAGUUUAUACUAUGUGCAAUAUGUUAUGCAUCAGUUGUUGUUUCAUUGUUUAAAGAUGAAUCUUUUUGAAAUGUUAAUUUUUUACUAAAAUACUGCAUUUGUACAAUGUGUCACUUUUUUCUUUGAACAUAUUUCAACACUAUAUUUGAUUAACAAAAAUAGUUUAUAUAAUGAUAUUAAUGGUGGUUUACACUCCGCUGCAGGAGAGAGAGGUGUGGGGAAGGCCUGGGAGAGCAGUGCCAGGUGAGUUGACGAUCACAGCUGCUACUCAUUGAGUAAACACUCUUCCCUUAUAUUGCAGUAGUGUGCUGAGAGCGAGCGUGAGAGUCGUAUGAAGUUGUUGUGUAUUAUCUGUUGUGACAGCGACGCUUGAAAUAAAAGUUGUGUGGUACAACGGCCCAGUGUGUGAGAUUGUGUGCUGUGG